rnacentral:rRNA from 1 species
ACUCCUACGGGAGGCAGCAGUGGGGAAUAUUGCACAAUGGGCGCAACCCUGAUGCAGCCAUGCCGCGUGUGUGAAGAAGGCCUUCGGGUUGUAAAGCACUUUCAGCGAGGAGGAAAGGUUGGUAGCGAAUAACUGCCAGCUGUGACGUUACUCGCAGAAGAAGCACCGGCUAACUCCGUGCCAGCAGCCGCGGUAAUACA